rnacentral:tRNA from 1 species
GUUUUAAUAGUUUAUAAAAAACCUUGGUCUUGUAAACCAAAAAAGAAAUUAAUUUCUUAAAGCU